rnacentral:rRNA from 1 species
CUCGUAGGCGGCCAACUAAGUCAGACGUGAAAUCCCUCGGCUUAACCGGGGAACUGCGUCUGAUACUGGCUGGCUUGAGAUUGGGAGAGGGAUGCGGAAUUCCAGGUGUAGCGGUGAAAUGCGUAGAUAUCUGGAGGAACACCGGUGGCGAAGGCGGCAUCCUGGACCAACACUGACGCUGAGGAGCGAAAGCCAGGGGAGCAAACGGGAUUAGAUACCCCGGUAGUCCUGGCCCUAAACGAUGAAUGCUUGGUGUGGCGGGUAUCGAUCCCUGCCGUGCCGAAGCUAACGCAUUAAGCAUUCCGCCUGGGGAGUACGGUCGCAAGGCUGAA